rnacentral:lncRNA from 1 species
GAACAUUUGAAUCUAUGGGCAGGUACAGCAGGGGAAACAGUGACCAGGUUCUGCAGAGAGCAGGAUAGAGUGCUGAUGACAGUGGGGAAGAGGCAGUUAGUGCCUCCCAUAGAAAAUGGCUUGGCAAGAGUGCAGGUGGCAGGCGAACCAUUUGUGUCGAAGGCAGCAUGAAGAGCAGUGGGCCAGCUAUCCAGGUCUGGGCAAAAUAGCAAGAAUGCAGGCAUAUGAGUUGAAGAAGGAAGAGGAAGAAGAUGAAUAUGCAUGGGCUAUCUCUGCUCUUCUCUCGGAAUCCUCUCACACUAAAGGAAGAGAUAAAUAAGGAGGGACAGUGACAAGUGUUCGGGCAGUGAUACGUGUUAGCAUCAUCAUUGAGUCUAGUGCCUGUGGACUUGUAACUCCACUGAAAAACAAAGUCAUAUUGAGUUUAUGGGUCUUAAUUCACCCAGCUUGAUAAUGGUAAAAGCUUUGGGGAUUGGAUUGAAUCUUUCCUUGUGACUUUAAGGAACACUCAAAAGAGAUUUCCCUCUAUCUUUCUCAUGCAUGCAAGAUUUGGGAUGCUCUAUCCAACUACAGGUUAAGAAAUGCAGCAUCUUGACACCUCCAUACCCAAAGCCAAGAUUGCUGUUUCUUUCAGACAGGCCCCCAAAAAGCAUUGGACAAAAUUUGACUAAAUGCUUUAUAGACCUUCCCCUUUGACUAAGAAAAAAAAAAACAUUGGUGAUUGCUUCUAUUCCAUAGAUGGAAAACCAAGAAAGAGACUUAUACUUUAUUCCUCAUGGUAUAGCAUUAUAUCCUUAGUGGGUGAGGCCCUUGUUUACCCUGAGGUGGUAGGCUAUUCAUGGCUAACCAGUGUAUCACUGGUACAACUAAGAUGAUUAGAUAUUACAAGUGGAAGCCUGAAGGGAUCUUCCCUGAACUGAUAUUCAACCCAUAAAUCACACCACUGCUCAUAUAGAGCAACUGCUCAUGAUAACAAGAUAACACCCAGAUCCUACUAGUUAAGAUGCCUGGCACUCAUGAUCUGGGGAAGAAUAUGAAGAGGAUGCUCCUACUGCAGAUGACUGAAACACAUACAGACUGUCUGUAAGUCAAUGAAACAGUGUGCUGCUUCUCCUCUGAUAGGCUGCUUCUUAAUUAAUCUACCCAUCAAUCAAGAGUAAUGUACCAAGUGAUGUUCCUCACUUCGGAACUCUGCUGUGGAGGCUCCAAAUACUUGUAUUGUGUGGAUUUAUGUCUGGAGAUCUCAUUAUAUCAAACAAAACUCUAACUCCAGAAACCAGAAAUGUGUAUAAAGGGAGGCCUUGAAAACC